rnacentral:tRNA from 1 species
GGGAAUGUGGCUCAAGGGGUAUAGCGCUUGCUUAGCAUGCAUGAGGCACUGGGUUCGAUUCUCAGCACCA